rnacentral:lncRNA from 1 species
UAAAUUAUCACGUACACAUGUGUGGGGUUGAGGUGUAUUCACAAGGACAAGACUCCCAGCCUGCCACCCGAUGUUUGGCUGUGGGCCUCUGUAUCUGUUUCCAUCCACUCCUGGAUUAAGCCUCUCAGAUGACCACAUCUCCAGGUCACUGACAUAGGAGGGACUGAAGAACACUCUCAGAGCUGAGACAGGUUCUCUCAUAAUGUGGUCCUGGAGAGCCGCUGGGAGUUUCUAAAUGCCACUGUUCACAAGGGGAUCUGACCAUAGGCUCUUCCCAUCUCUCGUCGGAUCCCAGCAGGUUCCUUCCCAUGGUAACGGCUUUUGAAAACUACAGAACAUUUGUAAAAGAAGAAAAUCAUUUGUGAUCUACAAAUUUUGGUUCCUUUCAACCCACAUGUAACACUAAUGAGUUCAUGGACUGACAGCUACCUGUGCAAACUGCCUUGGACACACGCUGCCUCCCCUGACAGGCUCGACCAUGUGCUUGGGCCACUGGAAUUGAGUAGACUGACCGGACAUCUGUCACCUGUGAGUGAGAACUGUUGGUGCUUGCAGACUUUGGCUUGGCCUCCUUGCUUCUGCCGUAAAGGUCAAAGUUCAAGAUUGCCACUUCUUCGAUCCAGCAUCCUGAAGAGGACGAAUCAAGGAGGCCUGGCAUAGCUCCCAGUCCCAAGCAUAUUCCUUAGCCAACUUGCAGCUCCAGGGAGGAGUCUGUAGUUAUGUCUGUUUAUAUCACUGUCUGGGUGCAUAUACAUGUGUAUGUGCACUACAGCAUCCUUGUGAAAGGCCAAGAACUUUGAGAUGUAUACUCGCUCCUUCCUCCGUGAAACCGAAGGAUCUAACAGCUCACCAGCCUUGUGCAGUGCGUUUUUCCUGCCAAGCCAUCUUACUGGGCUUUAAAAAAUGUAUUUUGACCUUAGGGUUUUUGUUUUUGUUUUAGAUAGUCUCCCAUUGGCAUAGACCUCAACAAUUUGGCUCUCUGGCUCCCAAGCCCAGGGGAGCCUCACUUUGCACUCCCUACACUGGAAAUAUAAGCUCAUGCCACUACAGCUGGCUUUUGUGGGCUUCUGAGGCUCACACAGUCUCACUUACUGAGCCAGUCGCCCAGCCCAGCCACUAAGCUCUUGGAAGUUGUGGAGAAGCUGAGAUGUCCCUUUGUAGAAGCUGUGACAAACAGACCUACACACAAAUGUGGAGUCACUGUGCUGUGUGGCCAUCAGUCAACAACUGACCAAAUUCCUCCACUGACACCUAAGUCUUGAUGGAACUGAGACCUGACUGAGGACAGAGACUCGGGGAUGUCUGUAGCAUGCGUCUGACAGUGGCUCACCAACACUCCUCCCAUUGCUGGAGGUACUGAGCACUACAGACCCUCAUAGCCAACCCUUCCGUUGUUUCAGAAACACCUGCUCUUCCAUCACUACAUAUUUUUAAAAAUUAUUUUGUGCAUAUGGGUAUUUUUUUUAAUAUGGAAGGCUUUCACGGAUUUGGGUAUCAUCCUUGCACAGGGAUUCUAAUCUUCUGUGCAUCAUUCCAAUUUUGGUAUAUAUGCUGCUGAAGCACACAUAUGGGUAUUUUGCUUGCAAGGAUGUCUGUGUACCACAUAUGUGCCUGCAGAGCCCAGAAGAGGGAGUUGGAUCUCCUAGAACUAGAGUCACAGAUGGUUAUGAGCCACCACCUGAAUGUGAGAAUUGACUCCAGGUCCUCUGGAAGAGCAGCCAGUGCUCUGACCUUUGAGCCAUCUCUCCAGCCCCAUCUUUAUAUCUUACUAGGGCAAGAAGCUGUUGUUAUCAGGUACUCUGGGGAGUUGGAGGAGUAGGAGUGCGGUAAGGGGUAGGUAGAGAGGAGGUAGGGAGUAAGCUAGCAGUGAGAUAGAGUGGCUGCCUGAAGCUCAGGUGAAGUUCACCCAGAAGCCAGCAGCAUUCCUUCAUGCUGCUUGUAUCUAGCUUCUCAGCUUCCACUCUCACACAGGGAUCGCUGUGAGGAGCACCUCCUCGGUGUCACUAGGAGCCCUGAGGUUUUAUUGAGAAAGCAGUGAAUCAGCGAUGCCCUGUGUAGAAAGCACUCCCUCCACUGCUGCUCCAUACUGCCUCAGGCUGCUGGCUGGUCCAAACCACCUAUGUCCCAAGUACCCAGUAGUUUUGCAUGAUGUUCCUUAGCUUAUAAACAAGCGUUAUUUUCACAUGGUUUUGAAUGAUGCUAAAAUACUCAAUUCAUCUUGUUUGUGCAUAUGCUUAAACCAGAGGUGAGUGUCAGGUGGCUUCCUUUAUUGCUCCCCGCCUUUAUAAAGAAAACUAAAAAAACUAAAACU